rnacentral:lncRNA from 1 species
AAACAAACGAGUAAGAAAUAUAGCAAAACAGCUGGGGAUAAGGGCAAUAAAAAUAUCACAGCAGGGGAAGGGCUUUGGGAGUGUCAAGCAGGCUUCAGUUUAAGAUGAGUGCUCAGCAAAAGCCUGAAAGCAAUGGCCUGAAGGAGAGAAAGGAUUGAACCAUCUGGAGACGGAGUUCACAGGAGAGCUGGCUAUUUAAAGGAGGCUGGCACCUCUUCCUCCCUCUCUUGCUCACUCUCUCGCCCUGUGACAUGCUGGCUUCCCUUCCCUCCUGCCAUGACUAAAAGCUUCUUGACGCCUCAUCAGAAACCAAGCAGAUGUGGGCUCCAUGCUUCUUGUACAGUCUGCAGAACUAUAAUGGCGUGUCUGAAAUGGCUGAAGACAACUCCGAUUCUGUCCUUUGGGGACUGGAAGACCAUUCUGGGGUUGGGGGUGGGUACAGGCUCUGUGGACACAGUCACAAGCCACAGCCCCCUUGCUGCUAGCCUGUGUCCCUUGCCCUCUUGCAGCAAGAGCCAGCCAGUCCUCCAAGCUCUGUGACAACACUGCACAAGGCAUGGACCCAGAGGAAGCCCCUCCAAGCAGAGCCAGCUGCCCACCGAUGAUGGCCACUGAGUGCCAACCAGACGCCACACUGUCCUACUGCCAGAGGGGGAACCUAGAGAGAAACAUUCACUUUCAUUUUAUCUCAUCUUCUUGUGUCAACUCCUCAGAGCGCUAUCCCUGACCCCCUAUAUAACACAGCAUCCCGUGUCACUGUCAAACCCCUGAUCCCUGUUUAUUUUUCUUCUUAGCAUUUAUCACUCCCUCAUAUCAUGGUGUCUCUCUCUCCCUCUCUCCUUAAUGAUAGGCAGGGACAUGAACCAUCUGUUCACCUUGAUUCUCCAGCACCCAGAACACUACCUGGCACCAAAACAUGCUCAAUAAAUAUAUGUUAGUUGAACGUCUGCCUGUUCUUACAGUACGAUGGGUUGUUCUUUGUUCCCUUGGCUGGAGAAAGGGAACAAAGUAGAUGGGGAUAUCAGCUCAAACCAGUCAUU